rnacentral:rRNA from 1 species
AUUGAACGCUGGCGGCAGGCCUAACACAUGCAAGUCGAGCGGAUGAAGGGAGCUUGCUCCUGGAUUCAGCGGCGGACGGGUGAGUAAUGCCUAGGAAUCUGCCUGGUAGUGGGGGAUAACGUCCGGAAACGGGCGCUAAUACCGCAUACGUCCUGAGGGAGAAAGUGGGGGAUCUUCGGACCUCACGCUAUCAGAUGAGCCUAGGUCGGAUUAGCUAGUUGGUGGGGUAAAGGCCUACCAAGGCGACGAUCCGUAACUGGUCUGAGAGGAUGAUCAGUCACACUGGAACUGAGACACGGUCCAGACUCCUACGGGAGGCAGCAGUGGGGAAUAUUGGACAAUGGGCGAAAGCCUGAUCCAGCCAUGCCGCGUGUGUGAAGAAGGUCUUCGGGUUGUAAAGCACUUUUAGUGGGGAAGAAGGGCAGUAAGUUAAUACCUUGCUGUUUUGACGUUACCAACAGAAUAAGCACCGGCUAACUUCGUG